CUUGUGCAGAAGUCUUUCUCAUGUGGAAGCACACUGCUCCCUAACUCCUGGCUAAGCAGACUUCCGUUCGCCAACUUUGCUGCCGUACAGCACGUGUAACUCCUUGACAGGAUGGCAGACAAAAGAACAGCUGGUGCAAAGCAAUAGGCGAUUCAUAGCAAGGAGGAGGAAAGAAAACCACAAACCUUUCACCCGCACCAUUGACAUCCGACGAUUGUCAGAGCAGCAGUUGCGACAGGACGAGCUGAAGCCACCAUGCGCAGGUCUAGCACCGAUGAGUCGACCUAUCACAGGAGCCCUUCCCUGGACAGCAAGGAUUACAGUUUCCCAAAUGGCGCCUUUCGUCGCUACAGCAGCAUGUAUGGUGGCCAGUUUGGGGCUGCCAGCAACUCUUUUUUUGGAUUCCAUACCAACCCGGGCCCUAAAGCCACCAAGGCUAAGUACACGUCCCCCAAGGGAAACAAGUACGUUGUCUUUUACCUGGAUCUCUCGUUUAUUUUUCUCCUAGAACUGAAGAGGUGCAGUAUGGCUCACAACUGCCUGCAGUGUAUCAAGUACCUAAUGUUUGUCUUCAACCUUCUUUUCUGGUUGGGAGGCUGUGGAAUCCUUGGAGUAGGCAUCUGGCUGGCUGUUACCCAAGGGAACUUUGCCACCCUCUCCUCUUCUUUCCCGUCCCUGUCAGCUGCCAACCUACUGAUCGUCACAGGGACAUUUGUCAUGAUCAUUGGCUUCGUGGGCUGCAUAGGUGCCAUCAAAGAAAACAAGUGCCUCCUGCUGAGUUUUUUUAUCAUGCUGUUAAUUAUAUUUCUGUUGGAGCUCACUGUUGUGAUUCUGUUCUUCGUCUACACUGACAAGAUUGACAAGUAUGCUCAGCGUGAUCUGAAGAAAGGGCUUCAUUUGUAUGGGACAGAUGGAAAUAUUGGUCUAACUAAUGCAUGGAGCAUCAUUCAAACAGAUUUCAGAUGCUGUGGAGUCUCCAACUACACUGACUGGUUUGAAGUGUACAAUACGACCCGGGUGCCGGACUCCUGCUGCUUAGAAUUCAGCGAGAACUGUGGACUCCAUUCCCCAGGGACCUGGUGGAAAGCGCCUUGCUACGAAACAGUGAAAAUAUGGCUCCAGGAAAACUUACUAGCAGUGGGAAUCUUUGGAUUGUGCACAGCUAUGGUGCAGUAUCUGGUGGCUGCUUCUCGUGGAGAAACCAACUCUCCCGUGCUCUUAUUGUUCAUUCUGUAAAACAGCAAUACAGAUAAGGACAAAAGGCAGACAGGAACUAGGAACAGAACAAGGAGAUGAGCCAGCAGGAAAAAACAGUAUGUGAUGUGUCUUCCUGUGUGUGAACAAAACAAGUAUUCUCGGACUCACCUUUGCAAUGACCAUGUAUUGUCAGGUAGUCAAGGCAGACACCUACUGUGCAUAGAUAUCAUUCCCAAUCUUUCUGCUCCUCCUCCAAAGGACACAGGAGAAAUCUCCUUCAUGCUCAUUUGUCUGACCUUCCCCCCUCCCCCUUUGUACUAUAAACUGUGUAUAAUGCUAUCUUUCUGAAGAUUUUGUGAAUCGCCCCACUUUACUGAAGGAGGAAGAAAAGGAAAGAAAAAGUCAGUACUUGAACUGGCACAGGUAAGAAGCAGCCUUGUCUUUAAACAGAAGAAAACCUCCAAAGAGCAAUGGUUCCUUUUCCAUGGCCCAUGACAAGGCAAUGGAGGCUGCUUACGAGGGGCUGAUCUGCAAACCGAUGUCAGGAAAAGCUUGUGCUGAGGCAACCUCUGCGGAAGCUGCCAGGUUGCCUUCCUGCAUUUCAUGGUCUGGAAGAGAGGGCAUAGAAAAUGAGUAUUCUUCAACAUGGAAAGACGGUACAGAGUAGCCAGCACUGAAUGCAAUUGUAAUUUUACUACAGUUUGCACACAGUUAAAAUGUCAAGAUCAAGCAGCCCUGCCUCCAAGUGUCCCAAGAUAAUUUUGUAGCCAGGAGCGGAUCAUCCUCAAAAAUAUGUUAUUUUAAAGGAGUAUUUUUAAUCUUAUGCACUGCAAAGUCAGGCUUUUAAUCAGAAUCUGUACAGUGAGAUCUGGCUGUUAAGGGAAAACAACAUUGGACAUUGUCUCAUUUAUUAAUUGCCAGUGGCAUAUAGAUGGUUGACUGUAUAUGUAAUAUAUAUAUUAUAUUCAUAUACACGUACUGUUCUGCAAGGAGGUGAAAAUACCCAGCAUCUAACCUCAGAAAGAGGGAACCUUUCUAUCCCAUUUUACAUUCCAACUGAAAUAACCAAGUAUUAUUUCUUGUAGGAGGCACUAUCACUUAUACCUCUGGGAAACAAGUAAUUACUUUCAGCUGUAUCUUCAUUUCAGUAAACAACUUGUGAGUGGGCUCUCUCUGUCAUUCUACUAUGGUUUUAUUUUUUUUUUCAUCCCUGUUUCAAGUUAGUCUGCCAAAAAAAUAUCACUCAUUUCCACACUUGAAGAUCUGUACAAAGCUGUCAGCUGUUCCUUCCCUGAAUGUCACCAUUUCAUUAAUUUACUUUGGGAUACCAUCAUCUGCAGGUAUGCUAGAGUUUGCCUUGCUGAGGAAAAAAAUCUUUUUGCACAUUGCUCAUUUUUCUGAGAAUUAUUAAGACUUCACAUGGUUUUUUAUGCUUAGUGCUUCCCCCCCCCCCCGCCCCAGCUGCAUGCUUUCAAGCCAAGACACAUCAGUCUUUGUCAGAACUGGAGUCACCUCUCAGUUCUAUUUUUCAGACCCAUCUCCCUCUGCCUGGCUUGUUGGCUAGAACACACCCCACACUUUCUGAAAUCUGCAGAAAUCUAAAUCAUAACUUUCCUUAGCCAGAAAAAAAGCCACCAGUUGUCAGAUCUCCCCAUCUCGUGUUGGUAACUGAAGUAAUUUAUGUAGUACCCUUCUGUGGACACCUUCUAGUGAUGAGGUUAAGAAUCAGAUGUUUCCUAUUGUUCAAACAAACAAUUCCCCCUCAGCAAGCAGCCCCAGAUAAUACCAAUGUGACAGGGAGAAGCUAAAGCACACCAGGGAAAGGACACAGCAAGGAACAGGCAAACAGAGCAAUGCAGCUGGCCUGCUUCUGCAGCCAGCCUUUGAGAACCUCUCAGCCACUGACAACAGACCAGAGACAAAACCAUGGUGCUCUGUUUUCCCAGAAAGCUCAAUGCAGCCAUUCCUACUGUGACAGACUACAAGCAUGCAUCAAGUUUAGGCAAAAAAGUUUACCCUGUACUUUUGUGCUUACAACAGCAGGUCUCAUCUGCAAAUGACAUUUUGCUUGCUUUGAUUUAAAAUUUUCCAGCAGUAAAGCUGGCCUCACCAACACACAGACUAUUGAACGAUCUCCUUAACACCCCUAAGUAACCCUUUUCUGGAUCUGCACCAUUGACAAAUACUACUCUCACCACUUAGGUUUUGUUGUUUGGGUUUUUUUCCUCUUAGCUGAUUUCCUGCAGUCUUCUCACCCUCAGGACCAAACUACUCCAUGUUUUGUGGGGAAGUGCUUAGGACAGUCCAGUGUGUGAAAGAGCAAGCAUCUUCCAAAAUCUUAGCCCCCACCUUUAUGCAUCACCCUCUGUAGCUUGCACAGCUAACACCCCAUGCUAAAUUGAAAGUAAUGUAUUACUUGUGUGCAUUUUAUGUAGCUUCCUAAUCACUAUCACACCAAUCUCACCACCACUAAAGGAUUUUACUGCCAUGCUAACAUGCCUUGACAAAUGUUAAUAGACCUUGACCCAAGACAGAGGUUAAACUGAGUGAGUAGCCCACACACAGGUGCCCUGUAGCCCAAGCAAGAGCCUUACUCAUGGUGUUACAAUGACCACAGUCUCAAUGCUCUCUGCUUCCUGAGCCCAGGCUAACGUGUCAACAGUCCUACUUUUGGAAAGAUGGUAUAAGUUCUUUCCUUUCCUCUUUCGACUCUUCCUUUCCUUUCUACAGAGACAUGAUUCCAGGUUAGAUGUACCAUUAGUCCUUGCCAUGAUUUAUAGUUUGUACACACAGGUGCUCCUACUGACAGCUCAGUUUCCACCACUGAAAAGCAGCAUAAGAGAGUGAUGAAUACAUUAAUAGAACAUAGAUGUUUAAGAAAAGGCAGACAAGUCUACUUGUAGUGAUCCCUGCCAUUAAAAAGUAACAUAGACACAGCAGGCUGACACUGCCUCAGUUGAUAAGAGCAAACUAUUGUGCCAGAGCUCCCAUGGAAGGCAACUCCUCAAUUUGCCUGAUGGUGGUAUAGGGAGAAGAGAGAUCACAAACCCUCAUCCUGUGAGUCUCCCAAUAUUAUGCGCUGAGCUCUUCGAGAACACUGCUAGACUUCAACUGAACCUACAGAGGAAAUAAAAUGAGAAACAGAGACCGAAGACAAGUCAUACUUGUUGGUUCCCUCUAAAUUUUCCACAGUUUAGAUGUCUACAAGAUAAACUGCCUUGAUUUUCAAAACCACCUAUCUAUAGGGAGUAUAAGCAAUACUCACUUUGUAAAUCCCAGUCACUGCAACAGAAACAUACGGCACCAACUGCUGAAAAGAAAGAAAGAAAAAAACAAAACCACCACCCAAAUACAAAUGGACCACACAUUGCUGCUAGUAAUUCUUUUUUUUAAACACUACCUUUACACUGCCAACUGAAAUGCUUCUGCAACUUGUUUAUAAUUUGAACUGGACUAUUUUCUACAUUUGAUGUUAAAAAAACUCUCUUCAUACAGGCCAAAUGGAUGUUAUGGUGUUUAAAGUAUUACCAGCAUAAUCCAAUUUCAAACUUCUGAACAUACUGCAUAUAACAAGCCUCAGACUUACCAUAUUUUCUUUUUAAAAGCAUUGCAUCCUUUCUCUGCUGACAAGGUCAGAAUAUUUUGUGAUAGGUAAUAGCAACAAUCUUUCUUUAAAAACCAAAAAAGAGAGUUCCACAUUAUGUAUAAAACUUCAUGUUGAACUGGUUGAUUUUAAAUACUCUGUAGUACAUAACACCCAUUUAAAGGCUGCUUAUAUUGUACAUAUACAGAGAACACAGGAGUCAUUCCAAUUGCUUCCAUUAGUGUUUUGUCACUUUUAGUAAAGUCUUUUAUAUUAUUUUCACUUCUUUAAGCAUGAAGGAGGACUCAAUACACUUCAUUUAAAAGACAGAACCAAAGGCAACAAAGACAUUGAAGGAGAGUGCUCCUAAUUUAUACUCAUAGCUCUUUGUUAAAUAACAAGAUGUGAAGGCACAGGGCGCACAGCUGGACCUACUGAAUUCAGCAACAUCAGGAUUUAGCUUUUAGAUUCAGUCCAAUAUAGUUCUGGUUUUUCAUCUUCACAAUUAUAAUAAUAUAUAUACGUAUAUAUAUAUUUAAUAGAAUAUGGUUUAUUUUCCUGUACAGUAACUGUCAGUAGCAGCCAAAUCUUAUUGCUCAUAUAACAGAAUUAUUUAGCUCCACAUCUCAGAGUGCACAAUCACUGAAAUUCACUCCAGUUUCUGUUCUAUGAAUAUUUCUUUGCUCCUCCUCAAAUAAUAUAAUCUCACAAAGGUUUAUUCUUCCAUUUAAUAAUUACCAUUCAAAUGCAGCAUUGUAUGAUUUAUAAUACAGAGAGGAAGGAACUGCACAGAAGCUGUAAAAUAUUUUAUCUUGCAUCAGCAAUAUGGCUGUUAUGUGAAUCCACCCAAACCCCUCACUUCCCACACGCUACUUAAGAACUGGUUACAUCUUUCAGCGCAUGUGGCUCCCAGCUGCCUCUUCCCCCAUAGGGCCAGAGGUUGUUAGCGCGGACAAAGUUGAAGCCAUUCACUUAACCCUUAGCCUCAUUGUUGUGCUAUAAAUGUGGCACUGAAUGUAAGCAACAGAAACCAGCACCUGAUUGUGACAUUGAUUUUAAAACCAGACUCUUUAUUAUUAACUUGGUCUACAAGGAUCCUUGCUAAGCAUGAAUGAUCUUCACAGAUACAGAGUUAGACAAUUCACAGUACGAAAACAAGUCAGGACUCGCCAUGGAAAUUUUGUUUGGAUUCCAUUGUGAAUUCUCCUAGAUUGUCACAGGUAUCUUACCACAGUGGGCAGGUCUCCUCAGUUCUUUGGAUUUUGUCGCUGCAACUACAAUGAUACAUUUUUGUGCAUUCGUAUAAGAACAAAAUUUAAAAUAUACAUUUUAUUUUUUAAAAGUUAUUAAAUAUUCUUUAAAGUUUACAACAGAAUGUCUUUUGUAUUCUUUAUAAUCAACUACACUACAAGCUAUACAUACCCAAAGGUGCAUGUGUGCACAAGUGCAUACACUGUGUGUAUGCAAUUAAAAAAAAUACACAGCAUACUUUUUUGUCAUUUCUCAUUACCUAUCUUUGAUUUGACUGAUCCUUCCUUAUGGAGUUUUGGGUUUGUUUUUUUUUUAAUUACUUAAGUGGUUUACCCAUUCCCAGGUAAAUUUACACCCCUUUCCUCUUAAGGACAACCUGAAAUGAUGUAAUAGUUGAUAAUGAUUCAGAAAAUAGUGAGGGAUCAGGUUUACAGUGUAAUAAAAUACUCAGACCCCAAACCAAUAAUUUUCUCUUUAGAACUUGUCUGAUACCGAUAAUUUUGAAACAAAAGGACUUAUCGUUUUCUGAGGUAGUUGCUUAGAGUCAGAAAUUACAUAGAAAGACACAGAAAAUUAACACCAGACUGUGUUAAAAUGGAACAACUAGGAACUCCUACUAUGUCCGAUGAGAAAAAGGUCUGGUUAGCCAGGUGUCUUGUCUGAAGUCAUGUCUAACACUGCCUUUAUCAGUACCGUUUAUUGUACCCUCCAGGUCAAACAGCUUCAGAAGUGAAAUUGCUUUUAAACUGGGUGUAUUCUGAACACCACCACAGGCAUACUAUUGAAAGUGUAAGGGUAGAUGUGGCCUCAGAAUGGAGGCCCAGAGGUUUGAGAGGUUGUUGCAGGAAACAUCAGAAAGGAUAACGCAAACCUUUGGUGGAAGUUUCUUAAAACUCCCUCAAUUCAGUCGGCUCAUUUAUAUUACUUGACUUUUCUUCAUCCUGUUAACUGUACCACUAGAUGGUCUCAUUAACCACAGCUACCUUUAAUCCCUUUCUGACUUUGAAGUGGAAAGUUUCAGAGUCUUGCACUGUAGCAGUGAAUUUCACAAUUUCAUCGUGCCAUAUACAUUUAAAAGAAUCUUCUUACACUGGUUUUAACAUGUUGCCUUUCAAUCUAAUUUAUUCACCAUUGGUUCCAUACUUCAGGAAUGCUAACCUAAUGAUUCUUACAGAAAUACAAGCAUAGAGCAGCUGUAUUGACUUUACAGCCUAAUUUGUCUUUCCACUAAAGCUUAAACUUGGGUAAUAGAAUACGCUAUUGAUUUUCAAGAUCCCAUUGUUUUUAAAAAAAACCAAAACCAAACAGCUAAGCCCACUGUACCUCCCCUCAGCAGCUAGCCUAGUUCAGCUGUCUUUGCUUUUUGAACUACAUGUUGGCAUAGACAGAGGGGGUUCUAUUUUCAUCAACAACUAGCCUAGUAUUUCAGCUGGCAUCCUGCUAUUUUUCCUCAAAUAUACUUAACACAACCUGGGAAUAUCAGGCUUAUCCGAUUAUACUAGCUGUAUAAUACAAAGUACUUUCUGUCCACAUGGUGAUAAUUUUCAAAGAGACUUAAGGGUAGCCUGUGAAACUUCAUCCAAAGUUUUUCUUGACACAUCAAAAGUACAAAAUACAGAGCCCUAUGUUUCUUACCUUCCCCUAUGUUGAAAAACCCAAAGAAAGAAUCUAUCAUUAUUAACUUGCCUAGCCAGUACUAUUUGAAAGGCUGUUUUUCUGAAAUCCCAUCAGUUGCCUGUGGAGGUCAUUUUACCCCAGGCCUUGCUCCCCCACCUGCAAUAAAACUGUUUCCCCAUAGUAAUACUGUAUAUUAUUCUGUUCACUAGAAAUUGUGGGGUUUGUUGACCUGUGAGAACAGCUUGGUUUACGUUCUUCCCUCCAACAGCCAGAAAGCAUUCGCUACCAAGUCUACACCAAUGCAUGUUAGACAGCUACAUAGAGGGACUAUGUCAUCUUGCAGUGCAUCAUUUUUUAAUGAAGAAAUGGCUGAUCAGUUAAACUGGUUUCACAAAUUCCUCCUUCAUAUCUUUUAUGCAGAAAUUGUUUAGGCAGAACAUUUUGUUCCUACAGAAUUGUUUAACAGAGACUUCCCUAUACUUGUGGUUACAAGAAUAACUUGAAAGGAUAGGAUCCUCAUCCACUAUAAACCUCCUGUUACAUUCCUGUGGCACUACUAUUACAUGAUGCAGUUCAAAUCACAGCCAACAAAAUAAAAUAUAACUGUAUAUAAUUAAAAUAUAUAAAACAAAGUACAGCAUAAAAACCCAACUGUUAAUGUGAACUGCUUACAUGUUUAUUUUUCCAUAUGGACAGCAACAAAGAGUUUCAGGUGUAAAGCAGUCAUCCUAAAGAUACUAAAAAUUACUAUACAAACAAAGGGAUUUCAGGAACUGGUUUGUGAAAGUCUAUUCAGAUGCACCUCAUUAUCUCCCUCCUCCACAAAUACCUUUCCUUGGCUGUAAAGUUUAAGCCCAUCGCUGCUCCAGCCCUUCCACCUCUACUGUACCAUUUAAAUCUGUUGUUCUGUACACAGGGAUACCUGGUUAAUCAAUGUCCCAGUCUGCCAAAUGUGGAGGGGAUUCAAUUACCUGUAUUUAAUAACUUUAAGUGCCCAAGGACAGACACCUUACACGGCUUUACGAAGCUCAGGUUUGACAUUGAGUUAGGAAACUACAGUCCCUACAGAGCAAAGUGAGUACUGUAACCAAGUAAUUAAUGUCAGCCUAGUUAUGGACCUAACCAGUGACUAAGCCUGAAUUGCUCUCAAUGUCCUCAGUUCCCCAAUGCAAGUUUGCAAGUGGCUAGAUGAGCACUGUUGUUAUCAAGCAGAACUGUCACUAGUUGUUUAGCAUUCUCCAGAGAGACUAAAGCUGCAAGGAUUCUUUUUUCUUUUUUUUUCUUUUAACCCAAUUUACCUUAGAAACUUGUUCAGUGUUAUUGUAUCACCCACAGAUGCAAUUAACUGAUUCUGAUAUUAUAUCUCAGCUUGAAUAAUAAGCACCCAGAAUAUUGAGCUAAAAAUGCCUCAGCCUAGAAAAGCUGUCAUUGCUGUUCUUUUGAAAAGCUCACAUGCACCCACAUAUUAUUGAGGUGACAUAUUGAGGCAGCAUAUGCAUCCCCACAUUUUGUACUGUGGCAGCCUAACUGUCCAAAAUAACUUCUAGCAGGAAAAAAAAAAAAAAAAAAAAAAGGCAGCAAUUCUCAUUUCUCUCAUUUUCAGGCUCUCACUUCUCACGGAAUUGAACCCUCCCCCCUAAGGGAGUUAAAGCUGUUUACAAACUUAAUUAAGAUGAUGCAUUUGCAAGCACUCAAGGAAAAGAGCACUUCACCAUGGUGCUGCUUCUAGUGCUUUCUUGGAACCCCUCCUCUCACUCUGAGUCUAUACCCGAUCACUUACGACAGUCAAAGUCACCAAAAGCUUCUUUAUAGCACUCAGAGCACCACACAGCCUCCCUCCAUCCCCACCAGUGGCCACUGCCUUUGCACCUGUAUUAAUUUCAUUUGAAAGUCAUGCUGGCAUUAGUUGAAUAGGGCGGCUGCAUGGAGCUACAAUUAAAGCUAUUUGGGAAAAUUCUUCAUGCUGUGAGCUCAGCUGCAGGAACUGGACACCCAAGUAUGUUAGAAAGAGGAACAGGAAUAUUUUCCCCUAGAAGCCAGAGGUGCUUUGACUAUUCUCCUGGUGAGCAGUUACAUUAUGCUACUUGGUCUUCUCUCAAGAACAGAGAUGCCCCAGAACCUCAUGGUUGAAAAUACUCCUACUUUUGGGGGAAGAACAGAAAUUGUGAACUCAGACCUGUGCACAACUGAAGGAAUAUGGAUUUGCAAAUGCAAACACAAGAGAGUAUGCAGACUGAAUUGAUGUGUCAUACAAUUACCAACUCACUUUCCCUAAAUAAAAUAACUCACCAGCUUGGAAGUACAGCUUGUUGUCAUGGAACUUGCUUGAUAUUGGUGCUAAUAAAAAUUGAAGUUUUAAAUCUUCUUCCUGUGAAGUCCAUGCAUUAGAGUUCUUCCCUAUUAAACACCUUCUUAUUCCUAACUGUGCACCACAGCUGGUUAUCCUGACACCAUACAAUCUUCAUUAUCCAAAGGUCCUUUGAAAUAAGCGCUCGCAGGUUUAAAAGAAGAAUUAUCACAUGAAAAACUGGCACAAUUAAAGCUGGCUGCAAAUCAUACUCUCUUGUUCCUGACGGAAUCAAGAGUUAAGGUACAUUCAAAAAUCUAUGUAUGUAUGUUGUUCUUAACUAGAAUGUUCCAAUGCAAGCAACCUUUGCUAUGGAUGACACAGGACUCCAGCUUAUCCAGACUUCUGCACCAGAAAAGGUGAGGAAGAGAAGGAAAACUAAAAACGACAGUUACAAAAAAACCACAGAUGAAAAAUAUGGGAGAAGGCUGGAAAUGCACAAGAGACCUGAGCAGACUGUUUUUCCCACUGUAAGGUACAAAAAUAGAGCAGUAUCCCAUGAAAUACAUGGUCAGCUCACUCACAAUAGAUACAGUGUUCCUUCAGACAGACUCUCCCAGAACUGAAUCAGGACUGCAGUGUGUAUAAAGCCUCUCUAUAAACUGUUCCUCCUAGACCCCAUGAUUUAGCAGAUUUGUGGGUUUUGAGCCUUGUGUAGAUGGUGGUUCUCUCAGUUUUAGG